AGUGAGCGCUGGCGGUAGGCCUAACACAUGCAAGUCGAACGGCAGCACAGUAAGAGCUUGCUCUUACGGGUGGCGAGUGGCGGACGGGUGAGGAAUACAUCGGAAUCUACUUUUUCGUGGGGGAUAACGUAGGGAAACUUACGCUAAUACCGCAUACGACCUACGGGUGAAAGCAGGGGAUCUUCGGACCUUGCGCGAUUGAAUGAGCCGAUGUCGGAUUAGCUAGUUGGCGGGGUAAAGGCCCACCAAGGCGACGAUCCGUAGCUGGUCUGAGAGGAUGAUCAGCCACACUGGAACUGAGACACGGUCCAGACUCCUACGGGAGGCAGCAGUGGGGAAUAUUGGACAAUGGGCGCAAGCCUGAUCCAGCCAUGCCGCGUGGGUGAAGAAGGCCUUCGGGUUGUAAAGCCCUUUUGUUGGGAAAGAAAAACAGCAGGUUAAUACCCCGCUGUUCUGACGGUACCCAAAGAAUAAGCACCGGCUAACUUCGUG
rnacentral:rRNA from 1 species